AUACGGAGGGUCCAAGCGUUAUCCGGAUUCAUUGGGUUUAAAGGGUACGUAGGCGGAUAGAUAAGUUAGUGGUGAAAUCCCGAAGCUCAACUUCGGAACUGCCAUUAAAACUGUCUAUCUUGAAUUUGGUUGAAGUGGGCGGAAUAUGACAUGUAGCGGUGAAAUGCAUAGAUAUGUCAUGGAACACCGAUAGUGAAGACAGCUCACUAAGCCAAUAUUGACGCUGAGGUACGAAAGCAUGGGUAGCGAACAGGAGUAGAAACCCUAGUAGUCC
rnacentral:rRNA from 1 species